AGCAAUUAUAAGGGGGCGUUUACGCUCAUGAUGGGGAGGAGAGAGAGUGAGAAAGCGGGAGAUUUGUAGAAAGAAUGUAGCAAGAGAGAUGGCUGAGACAUUAUCAAAGAGGAAAAUGUAAGAUGAAAUAUCAUUGGAAAAAAAGGAUUUACGAUCAGACAAGAACUAGAACCAUUUCCAGGGAUGGAGAGACAUUAGAGAGCAGGAAGACCUGAAAAGGACGCUGAGCCAAGGUUGCUUUGUUUCUGCUCAACACGUGAAGGAGGAGGAGGUUCAGGUCUGGCGUACUACAUGGGACUAAAGUCUGGAAAUCAGAAAACACCUCACCACUUCAUCUCCAGCCUCUGAGCAAGGUGGAACUUCCCACCAUGUGACCGCAGCUGGAGCCGUGCAAACGACAGCACGGAGUCGACAUAUGGACACUGAGCAUUGUGGUCCAGUAAAUGGAAUGAAACAAGCUGAUCUUUCAUAGCCCUCAAAAUUCAAGAUGCGUCUUAAAAACCGGUGUCCAGAUCCAAAGCUGUGUUUUUUUUUUUGCAUUUAACUUCACAUAAUAAAUCAAAAUAA